rnacentral:rRNA from 1 species
GACGAACGCUGGCGGCGUGCUUAACACAUGCAAGUCGAACGGUGAAGCGCCUUCCUUUUUGGUGGGUGUGGAUGAGUGGCGAACGGGUGAGUAACACGUGAGUAACCUGCCCCCUUCUUCUGGAUAACCGCAUGAAAGUGUGGCUAAUACGGGAUAUUCUGGGUCUGUCGUAUGAUGGGUCUGGGAAAGAUAUUGUUUCGGUGGGGGAUGGGCUCGCGGCCUAUCAGCUUGUUGGUGGGGUGAUGGCCUACCAAGGCGGUGACGGGUAGCCGGCCUGAGAGGGUGGACGGUCACACUGGGACUGAGACACGGCCCAGACUCCUACGGGAGGCAGCAGUGGGGAAUAUUGCACAAUGGGCGCAAGCCUGAUGCAGCGACGCCGCGUGAGGGAUGGAGGCCUUCGGGUUGUGAACCUCUUUCGCCAGUGAAGCAGGCCUGCCUCGUUUGUGGGUGGGUUGACGGUAGCUGGAUAAGAAGCGCCGGCUAACUACGUG